CCUACGGGGGGCAGCAGUGAGGAAUAUUGGGCAAUGGGCGCAAGCCUGACCCAGCCACGCCGCGUGAGUGAUGAAGGCCUUCGGGUUGUAAAGCUCUGUGGGGAGGGAAGAAAAACUUGGGUUCGAAUAGGGCUCGAGGUUGACGGUACCUCCUUAGCAAGCACCGGCUAACUCUGUGCCAGCAGCCGCGGUAAGACAGAGGGUGCAAACGUUGCUCGGAAUCACUGGGCGUAAAGGGCGCGUAGGCGGAUCGGGAAGUCGGGUGUGAAAUCCCUGGGCUCAACCUAGGAACUGCAUUCGAAACUCCCGGUCUAGAGUGACGGAGAGGAAAGCGGAAUUCCCGGUGUAGAGGUGAAAUUCGUAGAUAUCGGGAGGAACACCAGAGGCGAAGGCGGCUUUCUGGACGUUGACUGACGCUGAGGCGCGAAAGCGUGGGGAGCAAACAGGAUUAGAUACCCUGGUAGUC
rnacentral:misc_RNA from 1 species